AAUAUUGGACAAUGGGGGCAACCCUGAUCCAGCCAUGCCGCGUGUGUGAAGAAGGUCUUCGGAUUGUAAAGCACUUUAAGUUGGGAGGAAGGGCUUUAGGUUAAUACCCUGAAGUUUUGACGUUACCAACAGAAUCAGCACCGGCUAACUAUGUGCCAGCAGCCGCGGUAAUACAGAGGGUGCAAGGGUUAAUCGGAAUUACUGGGCGUAAAGCAGGCGUAGGGAGUUCAGUAAGAUGGGUGUGAAAACCCCGGGCUUAACCUGGUAACUGCGUUCAUAACUGCUGAGCUAGAGUACAGUAGAGGGUAGUGGAAUUUCCUGUGUAGCGGUGAAAUGCGUAGAUAUAGGAAGGAACACCAGUGGCGAAGGCGACUACCUGGACUGAUACUGACACUGAGGUGCGAAAGCGUGGGGAGCAAAC
rnacentral:rRNA from 1 species